CUAGUACCCUGUGUGCCUUGGAUGAAAGGAGCAAUCCGCUUUGGGACGGACCUGCGGCCCAUCAGCUAGUUGGUAGGGUAACGGCCUACCAAGGCGACGACGGGUAGGGGGCCUGAGAGGGUGGUCCCCCACAAUGGAACUGAGACACGGUCCAUACACCUACGGGUGGCAGCAGUAGGGGAUAUUGCACAAUGGGCGAAAGCCUGAUGCAGCGACGCCGCGUGGAGGAUGAAGGCCUUCGGGUUGUAAACUCCUUUUCGGGGGGAUGAGGAAGGACAGUACCCCCGGAAUAAGUCUCGGCUAACUACGUG
rnacentral:rRNA from 1 species